rnacentral:rRNA from 1 species
GACGAACGCUGGCGGCGUGCUUAACACAUGCAAGUCGAACGGAAAGGCCCUGCUUUUGUGGGGUGCUCGAGUGGCGAACGGGUGAGUAACACGUGAGUAACCUGCCCUUGACUUUGGGAUAACUUCAGGAAACUGGGGCUAAUACCGGAUAGGAGCUCCUGCUGCAUGGUGGGGGUUGGAAAGUUUCGGCGGUUGGGGAUGGACUCGCGGCUUAUCAGCUUGUUGGUGGGGUAGUGGCUUACCAAGGCUUUGACGGGUAGCCGGCCUGAGAGGGUGACUGGCCACAUUGGGACUGAGAUACGGCCCAGACUCCUACGGGAGGCAGCAGUGGGGAAUAUUGCACAAUGGGCGGAAGCCUGAUGCAGCAACGCCGCGUGCGGGAUGACGGCCUUCGGGUUGUAAACCGCUUUCGCCUGUGACGAAGCGUGAGUGGCGGUAAUGGGUAAAGAAGCACCGGCUAACUACGUG